rnacentral:rRNA from 1 species
GACGAACGCUGACGGCGUGCUUAACACAUGCAAGUCGAAGGGAGUGGCGAACGGGUGAGGAACACGUGAGUAACCUGCCCUUUUCUUUGGGAUAAGCCUGGGAAACUGGGUCUAAUACUGGAUGGAUUGGGAUGGGCUCGCGGCUUAGCAGCUUGUGGGUGGGGUGAUGGCGUAUCAAGGCUUUGACGGGUAGCAGGCCUGAGAGGGUGGUCGGUCACACUGGGACUGAGAUACGGCCCAGACUCCCACGAGAGGCAGCAGUGGGGAAUAUUGCACAAUGGGCGCAAGCCUGAUGCAGCCAUGCCGCGUGUAUGAAGAAGGCCUUCGGGUUGUAAAGUACUGUCAGCGGGGAGGCGUUACCCGCAGAAGAAGCACCGGCUAACUACGUGCCAGCAGCCGCGGUAAUUC